rnacentral:lncRNA from 1 species
AACCAUCCAUUAACGCUUAGCUUACAGAAAUAACCUAACUAAGGUACUCAGUAAAACGUGAGAGUGAGAAACAAAUAACACGAAUUUAACACUUAUUUCAUGAAGAAAAUCAGGAAGUAAUGGCUAAUAUCAGCAAUUAGAGGUUCAGCAAAACAUAUUAGCCUAAUCCAUGCAAGUUCUGAAGAUUAAAGUUACUAUGAAAACAAAUAGUCAGUAGCAUAAACAAUGAUCCAAAAUAUAACCACCUACUAAAACUAAUUAGGCUGUUAGGGAAUGACACAAAUGAAAAUCAGGAGAUGAAGAUCAACAAACAUUACUGAAGAAUGACAAAACAAGGAUCUCAGAAUCAGGAGGGUAAAAUCAACAUGAUAUUAGACCAACCAAAAGACGAAAGGAUUUCAGACCAGUGAUGACCAAAGGAAAUAUAGCAAGUAGAGAUGACUAUUUAACCUAUUUCAAGAUGAGACUGUGGAGAAACAACUAAUCAUUCAAAAGAAACAAAACAACUAUAUACAGGCAAUGAUAUUGAUAAAAAUAGAAUACUUAGCUUUUCACAUGAGAAUCUAACUUGAUAUCAAUCUGUUGGUUUCUGACCUCUUAUAUAGAGGUUUCUAACCUUCUAAGGCGACUCAUUUUUGGAAUAAUGGAUUUUAGGGGUUCAUGACUGGGAUUCUGUGAUUCUGAGACCAAGUGAGGUCUCUCAGAUCUGAGUUUCCUCGGUGGUUAGUGGUAUUUAGGGCUUGUGGGUGGCAUGGUUGGGGAGGGAAUAGACGGGGACUGCCUGAGAUGAGUUUGAUCGGAAUCCAGUGGGGUUUGAGUUUUAGGGUUAGACUUCAUAUCAAUAUUUGAGACGUUUCAAACGGAUUCGAAGGGUGUGACAUGCACGGUUGCAAAUAGGAGGAUGAGUUGUUUCAGGGGUGUAAUUUUGGAUGGGUUUGGAGUUGGGUUGCCGGAGAUGGUGGUUCCGGUGGUCUUUCUUUUGAAGAUUCGAGAUGAUGGGGGUUGUCUGAAGAGAACAAGUUGCAGGACGGAGAAGGGGAGGUCCUGGUGGUCCUAUGGGCUAAAGUUGGGGGUGGUUUGGAACAGGGUCGCCGGACACGGUGGUUCCGAUGACCCUUCUUUUGAAUAUUUGAGACAGAGGAGGGAUGUUCGACGGAAGCUGAUUGCACGACAGGGAAGGGGGGGGGUUUUGGUGGUCUGGUUGUGUGAAGUUGGGGUGGUUUGGUGACCGGCCACCACGGUGAGGCGAUUUCUGGCAGCGGCGUUAGGGUGGCUACUGGGUGGUCAAGGGAUGGUCAAGGGGAGGUCAAGGGGAGGG